GGUAAAGCACAAACACUACUCCAGGGCUUUAUUUAUAGCCUUUAUAUGCCCCCUGAGAAUACUGAAUAUAGCUACUAAAUAUAAUUACAGUUUGUAACAUGAACAAUCAGAUAAGCACCAUUUACAUCAAGGUCUGGAAUUUAUAUUUUUUCUCAGUACCCAAAGGGUAUACCAUGCAGGAUUCAAAGUUUAGUAUAUCCUAUCCCAUCCAAAUAAGUUUCCAUAACACUCAACUGAGGAGACCCACAGUCAACAACAAAUAAACAAUUAAUGCACAUAAUCCUUCAACAAACUUCUAUAUGCUAGUCCUCAUUGAGGAAAUACUGGUGGUAAACUGAUAAUAUUCAAAAACUUUCAGGAGCCCAUCAAAG
rnacentral:lncRNA from 1 species